CACCUGUUGUGCUUCACUGUUAAUGGAAGAAUGUCAAAUUUGCAAGCCCAGGAAAGAAGAAAAAAAUACAAAUAUUCCAUCAACGUUGUUCAAGGGUUCCUUCCUGGCCAGCAUUUGCAUCUGACCAAUUGUGUCUGGUCUUUUUGACACAGGCCAUUCUCACAGGUUGUUGAUCAACUAGUGGGAAGUUAAUGAAACAACAUUACACAAAGGUCUCUGUUCAAGUGGCAAGUUACUAGCUUUUCAACAACUACACAACAGAACUGAAUCUUAUUUGCAUGAAGAAGAGUGUGCCCUGAAAUGAAAAGCUCAUACAAAAAGAUUAAAUUAGCUUUUGA